UAGGGAAUCUUCCGCAAUGGGCGAAAGCCUGACGGAGCAACGCCGCGUGAGUGAUGAAGGUCUUCGGAUCGUAAAACUCUGUUAUUAGGGAAGAACAAAUGUGUAAGUAACUAUGCACGUCUUGACGGUACCUAAUCAGAAAGCCACGGCUAACUACGUGCCAGCAGCCGCGGUAAUACGUAGGUGGCAAGCGUUAUCCGGAAUUAUUGGGCGUAAAGCUCGCGUAGGCGGUUUUUUAAGUCUGAUGUGAAAGCCCACGGCUCAACCGUGGAGGGUCAUUGGAAACUGGAAAACUUGAGUGCAGAAGAGGAAAGUGGAAUUCCAUGUGUAGCGGUGAAAUGCGAAGAGAUAGGGAGGAACACCAGUGGCGAAGGCGACUUUCUGGUCUGUAACUGACGCUGAUGUGCGAAAGCGUGGGGAUCAAACAGG
rnacentral:rRNA from 1 species